AUGGGGAUGCUAGGGCUGAACAGGCUCGUGUCUCUGCAGAGCGACCGGCCGCGGCGUCAGCAAGGGGGAGUUUCAGGUCGUCGGCUUACGGCCUCAAGGACGGGUAAAAGGAAGGGAUCGCCCUGUCAACAAGAUGACGAUGGCGAUGAUUCUCAAUCUGGUAAAAUUAGGAGAACGGUAAUCAAGGCGCUUCCUGAGGACAUAUUGUUUCGUAUACACUCCUUAAUGCCAAUGCGUGAAGCUGCUCGUGCUGCUUGCGCAUCUCACGCCUUUUUAAAUUCGUGGAGAUACCAUCCCAAUCUCAUCUUUGAUAAGGAUACAAUUGGCUUUCCCUUUUUACAUUCGUGGAGAUACCAUUCCGGCCUCAUCUUUAAUAACGAUACAAUUGGCUCGAAAGAAAGUGCGAGUGGAGAGAAUGUCCACCACAAGAUUGACUGCAUUCUCAGGGAACACAAAGGCAGCUUGAAAACAUUCAAGCUUGACUACGCUCGAAUGAAUGGGCUCGAUGACUUCAGUUAUCUUGACAGUUGGCUUCAAAUUGCUCUUAAGCCUGGGCUUGAAGAACUCACCUUCAUGUUGUCUGCAUCAAUGUCUCAAACAACUGGAAAAUACAACUUCCCAUGCCCGUUGUCUGGAGCAAAGAGAACAUACAACUUCCCAUGCGCGCUUUUAUCUGACAGGGUUGGAAACUCGCUUCGGUGCCUUAGACUUGGUCUCUGUGUCCUCCAUCGCAUAGUUGAACUUGGCCCCUUGAGAAGCCUAACACGCCUGUACCUCUGUCAUUUGAGCAUCACAUGGAAUGAGUUAGAGCGCCUUCUUUCCAACUCGCUUGCUUUGGAGCUAUUACAUCUUACUGGUUGUGAUGAGAUUAAAUGUCUGAAAUUAUCUAGUGCCCUGCAGCGGCUCAGCGGGCUUCAUAUUUUAGUAUGCCAGAGAUUGGGAGUGAUAGAGAGCAAAGCUCCAAAUCUCUCUAGUCUCCGCCUUAGAUCAGGAUGCAGGUUAGACUUCUCACUUGUGGAAACAUGGCAAAUGAAGAAACUAUACUUGGUACAAAGCAAUCUUAUCUAUGAUGCCCGUGCCAAGCUACCACCCGUUCUGCCAAAUAUUGAAACUCUUUACAUAGAAUCACAGCGUGAGGUGGUUGAUGCACCAAUGCUGCCUACCAAAUUCCUCUACCUUAAGCACCUGACCAUUGUUUUGAGAUUAGAACCAAACGGUUCCGGGGCAUAUGACUAUUUUUCUCUGGUUUCUUUCCUGGAUGCUUCUCCUUCCCUGGAGACUUUGACAUUAGAUGUGACUCAGCGGCGUAUGGUGCAUGAAUCGAUUUUUGUGGAUUCACAACUGAGGCACAUGCCUGAGCACCACCAUGGCCACCUCAAGAGCGUGAAGAUCAGUGGUUUCAGCUCUGCGAAGUGCUUGAUUGAACUGACAUGUUAUAUUCUCAAGAACGCGGUGUCACUUGAGUGUCUUACAUUGGACACCAUUUGUGGGAAUAGGUGUUAUGAUGAAGGCGGCGACAAUUGGUGUGUUCCCAUGGCGGAUCCUAUUCUCGUGGAAACCCCUAGGACGCUCUCGGCUAUCAGAACAUACAUUGAGAAUAAAGUUCCAUCUACAGUUAAGUUAACUGUUCUGGAGCCUUGCAACAAAUGCCAUGGUAAAAGACUAGAGCGGCUAUUAUCACUGUCGCACAAUGUCAUUUCCAUUUAA
rnacentral:rRNA from 1 species